GGCGAGGUGCCGGAGUGGACGAACGGGGCGGUCUCGAAAAUCGCUGUGGGUUUACAGCCCACCGGGGGUUCGAAUCCCUCCCUCGCCG
rfam:Hydrogenobacter thermophilus TK-6 DNA, complete genome.